UGUGAUUGCAGAUUCAGUGAAUCAUCGAGUCUUUGAACGCACAUUGCGCCCCCUGGUAUUCCGGGGGGCAUGCCUGUCCGAGCGUCAUUGCUGCCCUCAAGCACGGCUUGUGUGUUGGGCUCUCGCCCCCCCGUCUCGGGAGGGCGGGCCCGAAAGGCAGCGGCGGCACCGCGUCCGGUCCUCGAGCGUAUGGGGCUUCGUCACCCGCUCUGUAGGCCCGGCCGGCGCCCGCCGGCGAACACCCCUCAAUCUUAACCAGGUUGACCUCGGAUCAGGUAGGGAUACCCGCUGAACUUAAGCAUAUCAAUAAGCGGAG
rnacentral:rRNA from 2 species